GGAGGGGUGGCUGAGUGGUUGAAGGCACCGGUCUUGAAAACCGGCAUACGGGCAACCGUAUCGAGGGUUCGAAUCCCUCCCCCUCCG
rnacentral:tRNA from 1 species